rnacentral:lncRNA from 1 species
AUGCGACUGCACGAGAAGCCGCGCGGUCUCGCGCUGUCAAAAGAGCUGACGCAAAUCGUUCAUUUUCAAACUUCAACAGCUCAAAAACACCCACUUUUAGCUCUUGGUUUGUUCUUAUGGGUGGAUUGUGUGCAAUCGCUGUAAUAUUUUAUUUUUAAAAGGUCUUGAACAAGAAUAAAUUAGUUUGUUGUGAGCCCGUUGUGAGACCACUCGCUGAACGGAGCGGUGAAUUCUCUCUCGUCUUUCUCUCUGUUCUGUGGCCAGAUAUCAAUUUUUAAUAAGCCCUGACCCCUGUAAUAUUCAAAUAUGUUGGUUUAGCUUGUCAGAGUGAAAUAAAUUCAUGUAUUUAUAUGUAUUUUUAACCGAUUUAAAAGUGAAACUAAGGCAGACUCCUCCCUCAGUCCCGGGAAUUGCUCCUGUAGAGGAGCAAUUUUUCUCAGCCAAGCCAACAUAAUAAUAAUAAGUAUUUGAGAUAGUAACACAUGCACCUUCGGCAAGCACCACUAAUAAUAAUAAUAAGAAGAAGAAAAAGAAGUUUAAAUAGCAUAAUAGUAUGUUGGCUUGUGCCUAGUCAACAUAAUAAUAAUAAUAAUAAUAAGAAGAAGUUUAAAUAGCAUAACAGUAUGUUGGCUUGUGCCUAGCCAACAUAAUAAUAAUAAUAAGAAGAAGAAGAAGAAGAAGAAGAAGUAGUUAAAUAGCAUAACAGUAUGUUGGCUUGUAAUAAAAAGUUUAAGACGGAUUUAAGUAAGUUGGCUUUCUCAAGACAACUUAAUAAGUUUAAAUACAAUUUCAAUAAGUUGGCUUUCUCAAGCCAACUUAAUAAUAAUAAGUUUAAAUAGUAGAUCAGUAAAUUGGCUUUCUCAAGCCAACUUAAUAAAUAGAAUAAUCAAAUGUGAGAAUAAUCAUAAUUAGAGACAGACAAACAACCAAUUUGCCUUUCAACCUAAAUUCGAGGUCAUACUAAAAUGGAGCCAGAUUAGAUCAUUAAAUGGAGUCAGAUUUGAGUUUAAUCUAAACUGAAUAACUCUACGCGCUAAAAAGCCAGAUACCUUCCUUGGACCGAGUGCCUGGACCUUACACUCUCUCUUCUCUUAGUGCG